rnacentral:rRNA from 1 species
GACGAACGCUGGCGGCGUGCUUAACACGUGCAAGUCGAACGGAGCGGCCCUGUCUUGCGGGGUACUCGAGUGGCGAACGGGUGAGUAACACGUGGGUGAUCUGCCCUGCACUUCGGGAUAAGCCUGGGAAACUGGGUCUAAUACCGGAUAGGAGCCAUUUUUAGGGUGAUGGUUGGAAAGUUUUUUCGGUGUAGGAUGAGCUCGCGGCCUAUCAGCUUGUGUGGUGGGGUAAUGGCCUACCAAGGCGGCGACGGGUAACCGGCCUGAGAGGGUGGACGGCCACAUUGGGACUGAUAUACGGCCCAGACUCCUACGGGAGGCAGCAGUGGGGAAUAUUGCACAAUGGGCGCAAGCCUGAUGCAGCGACGCCGCGUGGGGGAUGACGGCCUUCGGGUUGUAAACUCCUUUCGCUAGGAACGAAGCUUUUUGUGACUGUACCUAGAUAAUAAGCACCGGCUAACUACGUGCCAGCAGCCGCGAUAAUACGGAGGGUGCGAGCGUUGUCCGAAAUUGCUGGGCGUACGGGGCUCGGAGGUGGUUUGUCACGUCGUCUGUGAAAUUCCGGGGCCUUACUCCGGGCGUGCAGGCGAUACGGGCAUAACUUGAGUACUGUAGGGGUAACUGGAAUUCCUGGUGUAGCGGUGAAAUGCGCAGAUAUCAGGAGGAACACCGAUGGCGAAGGCAGGUUACUGGGCAGUUACUGACGCUGAGGAGCGAAAGCAUGGGUAGCGAACAGGAUUAGAUACCCUGGUAGUCCAUGCCGUAAACGGUGGGCGCUAGGUGUGAGGGUCUUUUCACGACUUUCGUGCCGUAGCUAACGCAUUGAGCGCCCCGCCUGGGGAGUACGGCCGCAAGGCUAAAACUCAAAGGAAUUGACGGGGGCCCGCACAAGCGGCGGAGCAUGUGGAUUAAUUCGAUGCAACGCGAAGAACCUUACCUGGGCUUGACAUACACCGGAUCGGGCUAUAGAUAGUCUUUCCCUUUGUGGCUGGUGUACAGGUGGUGCAUGGUUGUCGUCAGCUCGUGUCGUGAGAUGUUGGGUUAAGUCCCGCAACGAGCGCAACCCUUGUCUUAUGUUGCCAGCAUUUGGUUGGGGACUCAUGAGAGACUGCCCGGGUCAACUCGGAGGAAGGUGGGGAUGACGUCAAAUCAUCAUGCCCCUUAUGUCCAGGGCUUCACACAUGCUACAAUGGUCGGUACAACUCGCAGCCGACACUGUGAGGUGGAUCGAAUCCCUGAAAGCCGGCCUUAAUUCCGAAUUGGGUCUGCAACUCAACCCCUUGAAUUGGAAUUCCUUAGUAAUCCCAGAUCAGCAACCCUGCCGGGAAAACCUUCCCGGGCCCU